ensembl:lncRNA
UGCCUGAAGACUCACCUGUCUCACCUGAGGAGCUGCUGCAGCAGACGGACCGCUCUGUCCAGGCUGCUGCUGCCGCCCUCAGCUGGCAGAGUCAGCAGGUGGAGAAGCUGGUGUUUGAGCUGAUUGAGGAGCUGAAGAGGAAGAUGAAGACGACGGAUGCCGUUCAUCUGCAGGGGUCCUUCCACUGCCUCCAGCCAGACUCCAGACAGAAGACUCGCUGUCUCUCCUGUCUUCCUUGUCGCUUCUACAACCUGAUUGGUCAGCUGUGUCAUCGCACCACUGAGGCUCUGGUCACAGCUGUCAGAAGCAGCCUGGAGGCCCUCAGGAGGCGACUGUCAGCUCCUCAUCCUCUCCUCAGAGCCUCCGUCCAGCUCUG